GGUUGUUUGGCCGAGUGGUCUAAGGCGUCAGACUAAGGUUCUGGUCCGGUUUGGGCGUGGGUUCGAACCCCACAGCAACCA